ACGCUGGCGGCAGGCCUAACACAUGCAAGUCGAGCGGAAACGAGUUAUCAGAACCUUCGGGGGACGAUAACGGCGUCGAGCGGCGGACGGGUGAGUAAUGCCUAGGAAAUUGCCCUGAUGUGGGGGAUAACCAUUGGAAACGAUGGCUAAUACCGCAUGAUGCCUACGGGCCAAAGAGGGGGACCUCCGGGCCUCUCGCGUCAGGAUAUGCCUAGGUGGGAUUAGCUAGUUGGUGAGGUAAGGGCUCACCAAGGCGACGAUCCCUAGCUGGUCUGAGAGGAUGAUCAGCCACACUGGAACUGAGACACGGUCCAGACUCCUACGGGAGGCAGCAGUGGGGAAUAUUGCACAAUGGGCGCAAGCCUGAUGCAGCCAUGCCGCGUGUGUGAAGAAGGCCUUCGGGUUGUAAAGCACUUUCAGUCGUGAGGAAGGUAGUGUAGUUAAUAGCUGCAUUAUUUGACGUUAGCGACAGAAGAAGCACCGGCUAACUCCGUGCCAGCAGCCGCGGUAAUACGGAGGGUGCGAGCGUUAAUCGGAAUUACUGGGCGUAAAGCGCAUGCAGGUGGUUUGUUAAGUCAGAUGUGAAAGCCCGGGGCUCAACCUCGGAAUAGCAUUUGAAACUGGCAGACUAGAGUACUG
rnacentral:rRNA from 1 species